UGUGGGAGCGAGCUUGCUCGCGAUGAGGGCGUUACUGCCGACAUUAAUAUUGGCUGAUCUGCCGCCAUCGCGAGCAAGCUCGCUCCCACA
rnacentral:misc_RNA from 1 species